rnacentral:rRNA from 1 species
UACGGAAGGGGGCUAGCGUUGCUCGGAAUCACUGGGCGUAAAGCGCACGUAGGCGGCUUUCUAAGUCAGGGGUGAAAUCCUGGAGCUCAACUCCAGAACUGCCUUUGAUACUGGAGAGCUUGAGUCCGGAAGAGGUGAGUGGAACUCCGAGUGUAGAGGUGAAAUUCGUAGAUAUUCGGAAGAACACCAGUGGCGAAGGCGGCUCACUGGUCCGGUACUGACGCUGAUGUGCGAAAGCGUGGGGAGCAAACAGG